GGUAAAAUGGCUGAGUCUAGGCAAUAAAUUGUAAAUUUAUUAACGAAUUUGAAUUCUUUUACCA
rnacentral:tRNA from 1 species